CUGUGUUUGCAAAGGUGAAGAGGGGGUAUUUAAGGACUUUUGUGGCCGCACAUUUGACGUCAGCGCUCUUUGAUCCUUUGAUCCUUUAGAACGUGAUGUCACGGCAGGGGGCGUGGUCAGGAUUUUAGGUCGAGGCGCCACAUUAGCAGGCGAAGCAAAUGUUUGCUGUGUUUUUCGGUCAUAUUACGGUACGGAGCGAGCGCUCGCAAAAGUAACUCGGGAUCUCGCAAAAGUUUUGCCACAAGAGGACAUCAUCCACAUGCAACAAUACAAAGUACGAAGAAAAUUCCGUAAGUGAAAGAACAAGACAGCAUAAAACACCGGGGUUGAGAAGAAAGCCGACCUAAAUGGAUUACUAUUGAUGGUUUCCUGCUCCCAUUGUCUUCAGCUAAUGGCUUGUCCACACCACAUAUGCAGUCCAUACACGAGGAAGCACCCCAGAUUGCACAGGAACAUGGACUGAAUUUCAUCGCACAAGUUUUGCCUUUAAAUUCAAGCAACCAACUUUCCCCAUCAAAUUCAGGAGAUCCACAGAGCCCCCUACGUGUGUCAAUUCGCAGGAUAAAGGUUGUUGAUGAUCUUUUGGCUGUAUUUAUGGACAGUAGCAUAAUGAAUGUGUCUUUAAAGAUGAACUUUGUAAAUGAAAAUGCUGUUGAUGAUGCUGGGGUGUCAAGGAAGGUUUACACUGCAUUUUGGGAGCAAUUUUUGGAACAGUAUGAAGGUGAAACUGAACGAGUUCCAAGGCUGAAGCCAGACUUUUGUGAGGCUAAAAGGCAAGCAGUUGGGCAGAUAUGGGUGAAAGGCUUACUAGAUCAUGGUGUCUUUCCUGUGAGGCUGUCAAAGGCAUCAGUUGAUGUAGACAUUCUGAUUACAUCGUUUCUCAACGAUCUCCCUCCCUCGAUCAGCUGUUGAGAAGGCUCUCCAAGGCACAUUGGAUGAAAAUGAUGAAGAGGACCUGCUUCACCUUUUUACAAGGAUGGGUUCCCACUUCCCACCACCUAAGAACAACAUGCAUCCUGCCAUUGAAACAAUAGCUCAUAAGGCCAUUCUCAAAGAGCCAAAGUAUAUAAUGGAUUGCUUCUCCACACCCAAGGCACGUCUGCAGCUGAAACUGUCAGACAAGGAAAGUGACUUGUCUCUGUAUGAGACAAAGAAGGCCACAGGCAAAAGAGUAGUGCAGCUAUUUGAAACAACAAAAUUGAUGCUGUCUCACGGAGAACAGACAACCUUUAACCAUCUUCAGCAUUAUGUCAAAAACACUGAUGAAACAAAGCUGAAAAAAUCCUGCACUUCUGCACAGGAUCUCCUGUGAUCUGUCUUGACAAAAUUUUGGUGUGUUUUAAUGUUGAAACUGGGCUCAACGGAAGGCCUGUUGCUCAUACCUGUGGAGCUACCCUUGAAGUGCCAUUUACUUACAGUUCUUAUCCUGAAUUUUGCACCGAGUUCGACAAUAUCCUUUCCAGCAAUUACUUUGAAAUGGACAUCAUUUGAACUUGAUGUGUGUACUAAUGGUUACAGCUGUAAUUGUUAUAUGUAUGAUUAUCCUUGAGUUCAUAAAUUCUGUCUUUUUUUAUUUAUCAUUGAAGCAUUUGAUACAUUCAGCCGUAUAGUGAGCAGUCAUCAAUUUAAUUUUCUGAUGGUUGUAUGUUACCUCAGAUUUCACAAGGACUUUUUCUUGUUUAAAAUGCUUUGAAAAUGACUUUUCCUCUGCUAAUGUGUUUCCUCUUUUUUGAUAAAUGAGUUCAAAUAAAAGCAGCUCCAGUUAUUCAGAUAUUUUAAGAUAAAAUAAUUUUUUUAACUGUUCUCCAUUUUCUUCCACGGUCCAUAUUCUUUAGUCCAUCCAUCUCUUAAACGUUAAUGUUGAUUCAGAACAAAACCCUUACUUCAGCUCGAUGCUGAGAAACUGAACAUUUUAACACGGGGAUCUAAGAGGGCUGGCUGGCUUUUGACUCCAGCACACCAGAGACUGACCAGAAACUGAUCGCUCCUGAUAUGAGCGUCACUUAUGGGUGCCGUAAUAGCAUUUGAUCUUCUGAUGAGGUCACAUCUCCACUUUCUCCCCCCUCACAUUUCCAAAAUGAGCUUCUUCAUGAAUCAUUUAUUUUGUGGCCACACACCGUCCUGACUUCAACAUGAUUUCAGCAUAAAACGUUCCUGCUGGUGAAUCAUCAACAGUGCUUAUCACGCAUGACUGAUGUAGUAGAAUAGAAUUAAUAGAAUUCAUGCAUCAUCUUAGUAAGAAUUUAAUGUAUCAAAUGAAGGAUAUGUUUGGAGAAAGAGUUUCUAACAGUGUCUUUUUGUUCCUUACAGUGGUUAACUGUGUAACUUUAACAUCUCAAACUUUAAACUUUCAAACCACCAGAUUUU